rnacentral:lncRNA from 1 species
GGAGAAAAAUAACCAAAUGGAAAUAACAUAUUGUACUUAAAAAAUCACAAGGCCAGCUGGGGAAGGUCCAUUUAACGCAUUAAAAUUAAAAUGGUAUCAACUGGACAUAUGAAUUGGUCCCUCAUUAAUUACAGUUCCACUCUAUAUGAACUAUUGGACUAUAAAUAUGCAUAUCAUGCAGCCUUCUUAGUCAUCACUAAAUCAUCUAGCUAGGAUCAUAAACAUUGGCUGGAGGGUACUCCUUCUACUCAUGACCGCCGGUAGCUAUGACCCCCAUAGAAGGGGUCAUCUUGGUCCACUAAUGGCCAUUGCAUUAGCAAUUGUUCUCAUUUCCUUUAACGUGGGAUCCGUGGCUGCUGANNNNN